rnacentral:rRNA from 1 species
AUCCUGUCUGAAUAUGGGGGGACCAUCCUCCAAGGCUAAAUACUCCUGACUGACCGAUAGUGAACCAGUACCGUGAGGGAAAGGCGAAAAGAACCCCGGCGAGGGGAGUGAAAAAGAACCUGAAACCGUGUACGUACAAGCAGUGGGAGCACGCUUAGGCGUGUGACUGCGUACCUUUUGUAUAAUGGGUCAGCGACUUAUAUUCUGUAGCAAGGUUAACCGAAUAGGGGAGCCGAAGGGAAACCGAGUCUUAACUGGGCGUUAAGUUGCAGGGUAUAGACCCGAAACCCGGUGAUCUAGCCAUGGGCAGGUUGAAGGUUGGGUAACACUAACUGGAGGACCGAACCGACUAAUGUUGAAAAAUUAGCGGAUGACUUGUGGCUGGGGGUGAAAGGCCAAUCAAACCGGGAGAUAGCUGGUUCUCCCCGAAAGCUAUUUAGGUAGCGCCUCGUGAAUUCAUCUCCGGGGGUAGAGCACUGUUUCGGCAAGGGGGUCAUCCCGACUUACCAACCCGAUGCAAACUGCGAAUACCGGAGAAUGUUAUCACGGGAGACACACGGCGGGUGCUAACGUCCGUCGUGAAGAGGGAAACAACCCAGACCGCCAGCUAAGGUCCCAAAGUCAUGGUUAAGUGGGAAACGAUGUGGGAAGGCCCAGACAGCCAGGAUGUUGGCUUAGAAGCAGCCAUCAUUUAAAGAAAGCGUAAUAGCUCACUGGUCGAGUCGGCCUGCGCGGAAGAUGUAACGGGGCUAAACCAUGCACCGAAGCUGCGGCAGCGACGCUUAUGCGUUGUUGGGUAGGGGAGCGUUCUGUAAGCCUGUGAAGGUGUGCUGUGAGGCAUGCUGGAGGUAUCAGAAGUGCGAAUGCUGACAUAAGUAACGAUAAAGCGGGUGAAAAGCCCGCUCGCCGGAAGACCAAGGGUUCCUGUCCAACGUUAAUCGGGGCAGGGUGAGUCGACCCCUAAGGCGAGGCCGAAAGGCGUAGUCGAUGGGAAACAGGUUAAUAUUCCUGUACUUGGUGUUACUGCGAAGGGGGGACGGAGAAGGCUAUGUUGGCCGGGCGACGGUUGUCCCGGUUUAAGCGUGUAGGCUGGUUUUCCAGGCAAAUCCGGAAAAUCAAGGCUGAGGCGUGAUGACGAGGCACUACGGUGCUGAAGCAACAAAUGCCCUGCUUCCAGGAAAAGCCUCUAAGCAUCAGGUAACAUCAAAUCGUACCCCAAACCGACACAGGUGGUCAGGUAGAGAAUACCAAGGCGCUUGAGAGAACUCGGGUGAAGGAACUAGGCAAAAUGGUGCCGUAACUUCGGGAGAAGGCACGCUGAUAUGUAGGUGAAGCGACUUGCUCGUGGAGCUGAAAUCAGUCGAAGAUACCAGCUGGCUGCAACUGUUUAUUAAAAACACAGCACUGUGCAAACACGAAAGUGGACGUAUACGGUGUGACGCCUGCCCGGUGCCGGAAGGUUAAUUGAUGGGGUCAGCGCAAGCGAAGCUCUUGAUCGAAGCCCCGGUAAACGGCGGCCGUAACUAUAACGGUCCUAAGGUAGCGAAAUUCCUUGUCGGGUAAGUUCCGACCUGCACGAAUGGCGUAAUGAUGGCCAGGCUGUCUCCACCCGAGACUCAGUGAAAUUGAACUCGCUGUGAAGAUGCAGUGUACCCGCGGCAAGACGGAAAGACCCCGUGAACCUUUACUAUAGCUUGACACUGAACAUUGAGCCUUGAUGUGUAGGAUAGGUGGGAGGCUUUGAAGUGUGGACGCCAGUCUGCAUGGAGCCGACCUUGAAAUACCACCCUUUAAUGUUUGAUGUUCUAACGUUGACCCGUAAUCCGGGUUGCGGACAGUGUCUGGUGGGUAGUUUGACUGGGGCGGUCUCCUCCUAAAGAGUAACGGAGGAGCACGAAGGUUGGCUAAUCCUGGUCGGACAUCAGGAGGUUAGUGCAAUGGCAUAAGCCAGCUUGACUGCGAGCGUGACGGCGCGAGCAGGUGCGAAAGCAGGUCAUAGUGAUCCGGUGGUUCUGAAUGGAAGGGCCAUCGCUCAACGGAUAAAAGGUACUCCGGGGAUAACAGGCUGAUACCGCCCAAGAGUUCAUAUCGACGGCGGUGUUUGGCACCUCGAUGUCGGCUCAUCACAUCCUGGGGCUGAAGUAGGUCCCAAGGGUAUGGCUGUUCGCCAUUUAAAGUGGUACGCGAGCUGGGUUUAGAACGUCGUGAGACAGUUCGGUCCCUAUCUGCCGUGGGCGCUGGAGAACUGAGGGGGGCUGCUCCUAGUACGAGAGGACCGGAGUGGACGCAUCACUGGUGUUCGGGUUGUCAUGCCAAUGGCACUGCCCGGUAGCUAAAUGCGGAAGAGAUAAGUGCUGAAAGCAUCUAAGCACGAAACUUGCCCCGAGAUGAGUUCUCCCUGACCCUUUAAGGGUCCUGAAGGAACGUUGAAGACGACGACGUUGAUAGGCCGGGUGUGUAAGCGCAGCGAUGCGUUGAGCUAACCGGUAC